GACGAACGCUGGCGGCGUGCUUAACACAUGCAAGUCGAACGGUGAAGGAAAAGCUUGCUUUUCUGGAUCAGUGGCGAACGGGUGAGUAACACGUGAGUAACCUGCCCUUGACUCUGGGAUAAGCGUUGGAAACGACGUCUAAUACCGGAUACGACUUCCGACGGCAUCGUCUGGGGGUGGAAAGAUUUUUUGGUCAAGGAUGGACUCGCGGCCUAUCAGCUUGUUGGUGAGGUAAUGGCUCACCAAGGCGACGACGGGUAGCCGGCCUGAGAGGGUGACCGGCCACACUGGGACUGAGACACGGCCCAGACUCCUACGGGAGGCAGCAGUGGGGAAUAUUGCACAAUGGGCGCAAGCCUGAUGCAGCAACGCCGCGUGAGGGAUGACGGCCUUCGGGUUGUAAACCUCUUUUAGUAGGGAAGAAGCGAAAGUGACGGUACCUGCAGAAAAAGCACCGGCUAACUACGUGCCAGCAGCCGCCGUAACAC
rnacentral:rRNA from 1 species